CACACGCUCCCUGCCGCGCUGGCGGCAGAGGCCCUGGGCUGCCCACGUGUAGAAUUUCCCAACCUUGGUUCCUGGCAGUGCUUUUUGAUACAAAUUGGGUCCAAAUUAGAAUUGAUUUUUGUUUUUACUUUGCAUAGCUUAGCAACAUGCAAACUGAUGGUAAUUUAUGUUCAGGUGGGAGAUUGUUGUCAGAGUGCAGAUUUCGAGACGUUCCAGUGUUCCAAACCUCCUCCUGUAGACCUUCCAGAUGAAUUCCAGACGAUGAUUCCCUCUUCGAAUCAGUCGCAAAUCAUUGCCAAGUCUCGCUGAGGUGACUGUGUUGUCUGCGUUCCUUUUGCAAUAUAUGUCAGUGAUUGUGAAACGAUGCUUUGAUUGUCUUCCUGUUCUUACACUUGUUCCGUUUUCCAAUGGCCUAAGCCUGGCCUGGCGCACCUGCUCUGAGUAAGAGGAGGGUGUGUCAGUGUUGGGAUUACGGGAUAUCCAGGGAACCCGUGUUCACUCCUCCGUUGACAUGUACACAAAAGGAGGGAAGCCUGUUCUGACCGCUGGGCCGCCACUGCGCACACGCCCUCUCCUUGUCCUUCCUGCCCUUGGAGGGGAUCAGCUGCCUGAAUGGGUGUCGGGUCCACACCUGUGUGAGUCAGAGACACCGUGUGAGUGUAUUGUGCUCCGUGGGAGAAUAGCCAGGAAUCCGUGUCUUCCUUCUCUGCCGCCCACCUAGUCCCAUGGACCUCCUUCACCCACCCCUUUCCCUGGAGCCCCCACCAGUCCCUACCCGGGCUGGGAGGAGGACAGGGGAGUUUGUGACCGAGCAGAGUGGAGUAUGUGCAGAUGGGGACGUUGUGAGUGAGGUCCGCUCUCUGAGUCUGGGUGGGAACCAGGCGGCCCUGGUCUCCAUUGUGCCCACCAACAGAGCAGUGGGGUGGAGCCCACCCGUUUUGAUGCCACAUUGGGGUUCCCUUCCCAUCAUCCUCUGAGGCUCUUGUGUUAGGGCUCCCUGGAGAGCCAGCUCCUGUGCCCCUGGAGGGAGCGUGUCAGGUGUACAAGCUAAGUGGGGCCCCUCAGAAGGACCCCGAGCCCUGGAGAAGGUGGCUCUGGGAGGCCAGGCCCAUCGCCCGAAGCCAGGGAAGCCUUAACCUGUGGCCCCGUUGGCCUGGAUGGACGUCUUUCCCCCAGGAGAGCCCCUGCUGCCGGCAGUUCUCCCCUGAGCACAGGGAUCGAGGGUGGCGCAUGUGGCAGCGUCGGGGUCUGUGUGCUGCAGGCGGCCGCUUUGUGGCGGGUGCAGCAUCGGGUAGCCGGCAGGUGUUGCGGUGAGAAGAACAACAUGAGAGCCUGUGUUUUUACAGAGACCCUUGUCCUGGCGAAGGGAGGUGUGGAUUCUGGUUUCAGAAUCCAGCCACACAUUUCCAGUCUCUGCUAGCAGGGGGACACGGCGAGCGCAGAGGGAGAAGGUGGUGGGCUGGGAGGGGUCUGGGCCCCCCUUGGUGGAUGGAAAACAUUAGCUCUGCUUCUGGGGGUGUUUCUUCAGUGUGUCAGUCUCUGUCCGGCGAUGGGAGCCAGGCUGUGCGUUCUGUGGUGAUGCCCAGGAGGGACCCUGCGUGUGUGUGUGUGUGUGUGUGUGUGUGUGUGUGUCCCCAUUGUGCUCUGAGGCUCCUGCCAGCAUCACCCAUCGCCACUCGGGCUUCUCGUAGCGCAUGUGUCUUCCUGUGGGCAUCUGCACUUUAUCCUCAGUACAGAGUGUUUUCUCAAACGGAUUAAAAUACAAUGUCUUACAAGCCACAUUCCUGCCUUUCAUUCGGGAUCUGAGCUCACCACAGUGUGUUCAUUCCGUUGGUAAGACAGAGCUCGGUGGAUACUGUGAGGUCUGACUUAGGGGGUUUUUAAAGCUGUAUGAGUGGGAGGCUCGUCCUAGAGUUGUCUUUUUAGAUGCUGGCAGAGGAGACGGGUCUUUUAAAAGCAUUUCCACUGUCCAAGCCCCGUGGAGUCUGUGCUGCAGCGAGGCUUCUGCCAGCCACUGGUCAGGGUGACUGGAGCCUCAACCUGCGCCCGCCUCCGUCCCAGCCCUCCACCACGGCAGGCAGCUUCUGAUCUUCGUGUGACGGGAAGCCCAUUCGGCAGGAGCUCCUUCCUGUGGGGCACUCGCCAUGGCAGGACAUCGUGCCUGCAGGUCGGCCUCUGGAGAGCGAGGCCAGCCCUUCCCCAUGGCACCCCCCGAGCCUCCACUGCAGCCCCUGCCCUCGCGAUGGAGCUGCAGAUGUUACCAUUUAGGGAACUGGAAAGGAAUCCCCAUCUCCGUGUGGACUGGGUGAUGGUCUGAAUGUUCUAACCUUCUGGCUGUGCCCCUGCUAAUGUGGAGUUGUGAUCGGCAUGUCAAUCAGUGAUUGUAAAACUGGCCCAGCAGGUCAGAGCUGUGACCGGGAGCCCAGCCCACGCUGCCCUGGGCCUCCCAGGCGAGGAGCUUGGAUCCGGAGGCUGCUCGGGGGUGUGGCCAGCCUGGGAGCGAAGCACAGGCCCGGGCCCAUCUGUGAGGGGACGAUCUCUGUGAGAUUCAGUCAGUGGCUGCAUCGGCCCCACGGUGACCAGCCCUGCCCGCUGGGAGAGGGGGCCCGUGUCUGUAAAUGUAAAACAGCUCACCAUUGUAGAGGCCUGUCUGUGUGCUGCUCCUGUUGACUUAUGAUUCUCCACAAAUAAAUAUUUUCAUG